rnacentral:siRNA from 1 species
AACGCCGUUAAAUGAUUCUGUAAC